GAUGUAGAUAUUUCCACACACUUAUGAAUUUAUGAAAUCUUAUUCAAUAUAUGUUGUUGUUUUAUUAACAUUACAAAUGACCAGUAAUUGAAUUAACCACAGAAGUUAUGUCUAAAAUUACAGACACAUGAGAGACAGACAGGUUUGUUAAUAAGCCUCCUAAGAUCUUCAAGUGUUAGUGGAAAUAAACCAACAUGUUAUGCAUACAUAUCUAAGCACACACACAUCCGAUAUUCAGACAUAAAUUACAUGUAUUGAGUUUUGUAGUUUAUAUGUCCAAACCAAGACACCGUAUAUACUCAAGGUAAACGUUUUUAUUUUUCUUGUAUUUUUUUCUACAUUACAUAGAUAUCUUAUUUUAGUAUGCAUACGGAGAGCGAGAGAGAGAGCUAAUUCUACUGCAACCAAAGAUGAACAAGCUGCUAAACAGUUUGAAUCGACACUAAUUUCCUUCUCAGAAAACAACCUCACCUCCAAAUCAGACAUAGGAAAACAUGAAGGGAAAAUAGAACUAUAUUUAUAUUAUCGAAUAUAAUUUAAAUAUGCAUAUGACUGUGUAUAUAUACAUUUUUCAGGAAUUAUACACAGACACAAUAUAUAUAUAUAUAUAUACACACACAUAUAUAUAUUAAUCAUAUUUCGAAGUUGAUACUCAAUUACAUGUAUUGAUUACUCCCCACUACGUCAAGGGUACACACCCAAACACAUCCGUAUAUUAUAUAUCUAUACGUUUGAGUAAAUGAAUAUUUAAAGUUGGAUUAUCACAGAUUUAGAUACAAAAAAAUAAGCCAGACUGACACAAGUGGAUUGGAAUUUUACUAUAUUUGUAGCUAUGAUAUUUGUCAACUGUCUUCAAAGCAAUAAUGUUGUUUAAAAUAUCAUAUUCGGGAUUGUUUUCGCUUGUUUUCUGCUCCAUUGUUUUCAAUUCCCUUCGAUAAUAGCUCAACUGUUGGUGACAAGUGAGGGAAACGAAAAGAAAUGUGGAAGACUUAGUGAAAACAGAAUAAUGAGGGAGAGAAAUCAGUGUCCGACAAACUACAAAAGACUAUUAGGUGGGUCUAUUUAGUGUAGCAGGUUCUUUUAGGAGAAAUAAAUAUCGUUUUAUUAGCUGUUGUAAGUUACUAAUGAGCAGAAUAUAAGAACAACAAAGGUAAAGAAAUGACAACACGAAGACAAUGUAUGAGGCAAUCACAUGGGUUGCUGGGUUUGAUGAUGAAACACAAGGGUGGAAGAGGUUGCCCUAAUGAAUAAUAGAUGACAGUAACAUAUAUACAGUUAACACCUAAAGUUGUUUAUAUACAAGAGUUGAGAAGGCAUUAAACUAAUUUAGCAAGCAGAUAGUAGGAGUGUUGAUUUGUUCAAAUGUGGACAAAAAGAAGCAUUGAAGAACUAUAAUGAAUCAAGCAUCUGAACGACCUCUGUUAUCCCGCCUGCACUAGUUGUGCAACGUAACCUUAACCUAAAUUAUCGAUACUGUUUUAGAAAGAUCCUUUUCUGAAGUGUUUAAAAAAUAAAAGAACAUGACAAACCUUCACGGAAAUUCCGGAAAUGGAGCCCGAUGAAGCAUUAUAACAAUGUUGUAAAUAGAGCAGCCAUGAUGAAUCACCCGGAUGACGGUCGGUGUGACGUCACCAGAAAAAAAGCCACCCCACUGCAGAGAGAAACGUUACUGGGUUUAUUAAUGUAUAUAUAUAUAUAUGUAUAUAUAUUUAUAUAUCCCUACGAUGAUACAUCGACAUAUAGCUCUAUGAUUGAAUUUUAUUUAUUGAACAAGAAUAAUUAUUAUUUCUCAGUACGUGUUGUGAUCGAUUAAUCGACUUACAAUUUCUUCUUAUCUCCUACCCUCUACUAUACAGCCAUGUAUUAUGCUGCAUUAUGAUUCUUCACUCUGCCUGUUAUAGAGACAUACUUCUUUCUCUCUCAUCUUCCUGCAUAUCACAUUUCUUUUGCUUUACACUUUUCACCAAAAAAAAGCAAACAAAAAACAGAAGGACCGUUUUUGAUAUGCAGUUGGAAUCGUUUCACUUUGUUUUCUGUUAGGAGAGGCAUCAGCAGCACAAAUUUCCAUUUCCCUACUUAAAACUUCCUGCUUACAUAAGAAGCAAAUAAUCCAAAGCAUAAGAAAUUUGGAAGUUCUUUUCUUUUCUGACAUCUUAAUUUUCAUUUCCUUUUCUACUCGACAUCAAAUACUUUUUCUUCGAAUUACAUUCUCAUAUCUUUUAAUUUUUCAUUCGAGAUAAGGAGGGUAGUUUCAUUAAUUACACCAAUCAUUAAUUAAUUAUCAUAUUUUAUUUCUCGGUCAUGAAGAAAUACUUUACAAUUUAUUUUUGUAACUCUUUCGUUAAUGUUUUCACUAAAUCUAACAAAAAUAAUUUAUCCGUAUGUUUAUGGAGAGAAAACAGCCAGAACAUAAAUUAAAUACCUGAAAACAAUCUUUAGCGAAAUUUUAUUUAUUACACUUAUGAGCAAAGACAAAUCAUUGUCGUCGUUGUUUUGUCAUCUGUGUUUAUCACAAAUGUCUGAUCGGAAAAUAGUAUUUUUGACAUAACUUUUGAGCCUAUUUCGUAAUCACAUAAACCCAACAUUCUGUGAUCUAAAUUCGCUACAUUCAUUUUUUUUUUUUUUGUCUUCUACGAUUUAUUUUUUUUUUAUUUUUACAGAUAAAAUAUAACUACUUUCAUUAACAUUCCAUGUAUUUUUCUAAUCUACCUUUUUAUUUUUAUUCUCAAGUCCGGGGUAAAUAAAAUGGAAUAGAUAUAAUAUCAUCAAUGCUAAAUUCAGUGACUAUGACAUCGAAGGAUUUGUCUGCGUUCUUGUUCAAUGUAAUGCUGAGCCCCUGAUCUGAUAUGAACUAAACUUCCAUCAAUACUUCCAGUUGAUUAUUUCCAAUGCUUUUCAAAUUACUGCUUUUAACCCCUGGCCUCAAACAUGUUAAAAGACGAUAUAUGUUAGUUGAUGACACUGGCUCUCAGUUCGUGAACACAUUUUCUUCUGAGAGUAUCCUACUCUACAUAUACCCUGUGCUUUUAGUACUAAGUUAUUUAAUCUCUAUAAACCUAAUGAGGUUAUCCAAUUCACUGACACAAAACUGAGGUGCAAAGCAACAAUUCAGGAGUCAUAAAUUCUCCUGAUGAGGCCCCUUGAACAUUUUUCAAACUUGAUUUUAAAAGCACUUUCAAUUCACUCAGUUGGGAUGUUAUUUGCAACUCAGUGAAAGAGAAGACUCUAGAGCUCUACCACUUUGCAUGGCAAGUUUAUCAGGAUCCCUCAAAUUAAAAUCAGCACAUUCUUUUUGUCCUGGUUGUUCAACUAGGUGACCCACUUAAUCCUGCAUUAGUUGCAUAUGGCAUUGACAAUACAAUAUUGAUAGAAUGAAGUUUAUAGAUUUGAACAGCUUGUUUUGGAGCCCAUGUCAGAUAAGGUCCUCACUACCGCAAAUUUGAUGAUUGAGGAACUUAGUUGUCAAUGAGUUCUGCUCAUCCAUCAGGAUCUUUCACCAUCUGAGAUCUCAAUUUACCAUUUUGUUUUUGAACCCACUUUUCUUUCUAAGAUGUCAAAACUCAAACGAUUACUGAAAAAUAUUGAUGUAAAUAAACUCCAUCAAGGCUUCUUUUAUUCUGAGGAAUUAUUUAUCAACCCCUAAGCUUACAUAUUGUGGACCAGUCCCUCAUUCAUAUUCUUGCUGCCUCUACAAUGACAUCUAAUUCAUGAGAAACUUGAAAGUUUAGUCAAUGUUAAACUCCUUUCAGUAUCCCUUGCUUGGUAGCAUUGCCCAAAUGAUCUGUCAUGGUUUAGGUUUAAGCAAAUGCUCCUCUCUGUUGCUUCCCAAAUUCUGUUAUUCCAUUCAUGCUUACUUCACUAGUAGAUAACAUUCUUUCCUUUCCAUUUCGACUACCUCCAACAGAGAGGUGGAUAAAGGUCUACAACUGUGGAGUGUGCUUCAGUUGUUAGUUCUAGAUUGGGGAAAAUUGACUCAGAGUGUUUGGGACAAUUUACAGUUAAAACAUAUUUUCAGCUGUCUUUUUAAUCAGUUAGAUCAGUUGAUACUCAAGGUGUCAUCUACUUUCUGUGAGAGCCAAAUUUUCUGGAGAUUGAGUUGACACUUUACCCAUAGCAAACAUUAGUGACUUACAUAACCAAGAUCAGCUCCCUAUUCCCAUUGCCUUCAGAGUCAAAGUCGAUGUAUAUGGAAGAAUAAGGUGUUGUUGCAGCAAGCUUUUCAAUUCCAGAGGUUUUUUAUCAUCCAUCACUAUUUAGUAACAAUAUCAAACUAUAGAAAGAAAAUGAAAUAAGAGAAUUAGAUCAAACCCAGACAUGCAGAUACUUAGAAAUCAAUGAACUAGAUAUGGUACAAUAUACAUAAAUAAAAGAGAAGAAAAGGAAGGGAUACUAUAGAUGAGUUAGACUAAUACUUAAAACAGGUAAAUCUGAAAAACAAGAUAGUAGGUAUCAACACCCUAGCUAUCUUAGUCAUAAAUUACAGUUUCAAUAUUCUCAAUUGGACACUGUUAAAUAUUUUGGCCAGAAAUUGAGGAUCUUGUCGUGUCAGGGUGCCUUCCAAUUGCUUAGUUUUUGCAGUGCCUUGGUGACCUCUUGGUGAUGUCAAUGUAAUCAAUAUAAUCCCUCCCCACAAUUUUCAGGCCUUGUGACCACAGUAGAAAGGAUUAUUAUUAUUAUUGUCUUUGCACAGCUUCUAAUUCUGGAGAUGUACUACGGUGUCAGCUGUUCACAACCAGUUCACUACCAGUGCUCCACCUUCAUUGCAGCCCCUAUUUGUUCCAUGUACUUCUCAAGAUUUUUACUCACUGUCCCCAGGGUUCCGACAGUUAUUGGUACUACUACCACCUUUUCAAGUGACCACAACUGCUUAACCUCUCAAGCUAACCUGUCAUAUAUAUCGACUUUUCUUUCUUCCUACCUUGUUAUUAGAUGGGCUUGCUAUAUCUAUGACCCAGCAUCGUUUGCUUUCUUUCUCAAUUAACUCUAUGUCUGGUUUCCUAUUCUGUAUCUCAUGGUUGUACUGAAUCAUAAAAUCCUAUAGGGUCUUUGUAUUAUCAUUUACAAUGAUGCCUUCAGGUUUAUGGUCAUACCACAUUUUUGCUCUGUCAAGUCCAUACUUGUUGCAAAGUGUCCAAUGGACAAUCCUAACUGAUAAUAUGCCAUACAGUUUCUCCAUUUUCUCCCCAAAUUCUGCACUUAUCACUUUCUGAUGUGUUGUCUAUUCUGUAUUUGAUGUAAUUGGUUCUUAAUGCUUGCUUUUGGUCAGCACAGAUUAGAACCUCCGUUUCCAGUUUUAUAUCAUUUUAGUCAUCCAUAGCCAUCUUUUUUCUCUGUCUGUCUUAUCUUCAACAUCUCUAUAAAUCGUUCAUGCAUUCUUUUCUUUAUCCACUUAUUUUCAUUCUUUAUCCACUUAUUUUCAUUCUUUAUCCACCUAUUUUUAAGUUUCAUUCAUUAUUAUUGUUGUUGUUUUAGUUGUUGUUGUUAUUGUUAUCAAGGUGUGGUGAGCUGGCAGAAUCAUUAGAACAAAAUGCUAAGCAGCAUUUCAUUCUUCUCUACAUUCUGAAUUCAAAUUCUGCCAAGGUCACCUUUACCUUUCAUCUAUUUGGGGCCACUAAAACAAGUACCAGUUGAGCAAUGGGGUUGAUGUAAUCAACUUUUCCCCUCUCCCAAAAUCUAAGGCCUUAUGCCUAUAAUAAAAAGUAUCAUCAUCAUCAUCAUCAUUAUCAUCAUCAUCAUUAUUAAAAAAUUAUUAUAUUAAUUUAUUAUUAUUAUUAUUAUUAUUAUUAUUAUUAUUAUUAUUAUUCAGUAAUCUUAUUUUUAUCAUGUGCUUUCAUUUGGGUAUGUGCUGUGAUUUGUUCUGAUGCUCUUAUUUUUACUGCCUUGAAAGAGUUUUAUGUAGGAUGUGUGCGGUGCCUAGUAGUGCUAUUUUCUGUAUGUUAUAUAUACUUGUUAGUCCUGGUGUUUUUUUUUAUACAUAUGUCUGAAUAUUUUUUUAUCAUACCUAAUGUGCCUACUAUGAUAGGAAUUAUUUCUGUUUUUAGACUCAACAUUCAAGUUACUUCUAUUUCCAGGUCUUUGUAUUUUGAAAGCUUCUCCGUUUCUUUUAGAGAAAUGUUGUCAUCUGUUGGUAUUGAUACAUCAAUUAGAAAGCAUUGUUUUUCUUCAUGAUCUCUGACAACUAUAUCUGGCUUAUUGUCCUUAAUUUCUCUAUCUGUGUGUAUUGGCAUAUCACAGAGUAUGGUUGCUUUCUCUUUUUCUUUGACCUUUUCUGGCAAGUGUCUAUACCAUUUUUUCCGGUUGUUGUUCCAUAGUGUUGACAUAGUCCCAACUCUGUCAUGUCUGUGAAUAUAUUCCUUCUUAGUCAGGACUGGACAGCCAGAGACAAUAUGAUUUAUUGUUUCUUCUCCAUCUCCACAUAUUCUGCAGUUACUUUAUUUCUUUUCAUUACAUGUUUUUGGUAAUUUCUGGUAGGAAGGUUUUGAUCUUGUGCUUCAAUUAAAAAUCCUUCAGUCUCUGUUGAGCCCUGAGCUUCUCAGCCAUUGUUGGGAUUUGCUUUGUCUAUUUCUUUUCUGUUUCGUUUGACCCAAUAUUUACCAUGACGGGGCUUUUCUUGUCAUCAUUUUAUCAUGAUCCAUUGCUGUUCCAGUUUUAGAGUGGAUUUCAGUUGUUUUGUAGCUCUUGUUUCUUCUUUUUCUUCUUAGUUGUUAGGUACUAUGACUUCUUUUUUGUAUUUGUCAGCUUCCUUAAAGACUAAAAACAGUUUUUUGUUUUGUUUGUGUUUUGUGGAUAUUUGUAUUAUUAUUAUUAUUAUUAUUAUUAUUAUUAUUAUUAUUAUUAUUAUUAUUGUUGUUGUUGUUGUUGUUGUUAUACACUUAACAGAUUAGACUGUUGGAAAAGAAAAGAAUCCUAACAUCAGGCUACAACAAGUAGCCUUAGAUGCCAAGAACCUUCCUAAGUAUCCUAGCUGUCCCUAAUAACACUGUUUUCUGCAGCUGUACUACACUGGGUUUUAUGCCUAUUUCCUCUAUCCAUCUGUUUAGAUCUUUAGGGAUAGGUCCCAAUACACCUAUAACUACUGGGAUACAUUUUAUCCACACUUCCCAUAGUCUCUGUAAUUCAAUAGCUAGGUCUUGAUACUUUGAUAUUUUUCUAUACUUCUCAUAUUAAUUUUUUCAUUAUUUGGGACUAUAAAGUCAAUUAACUGGUACUUUCUAUUCUCUUUAUCUACUACUACCAAUCAGGCUUUCUAGCUUCUAUUACUCUGUCAGUAUGAAUAUUAAAGCCCCACAGCACCUUGUAUUUCUUACUUUCAUGUUCAUACCAUUUAUCAGUAUGUUCAAAUCCUAGUUUUCUACAUAGCUCCCAGUGGAUUGCUUUCCCUAGAUUGUCAUGUCCUUUCUUGUAUUCUUUCUGUGCCAGCAUGCUACAAUCACUUACUAUAUAAGUAACACUUUCCUCCUUUGAUUUGCAUAAUCUACAUUGGGAAACUUAAUUGGUUUUUGUCUAUCUUGACGUUUAUCCAAUUAGUUCUUAAUGCUUGAUCUUGUGCAGUUACUAAAAAAAUUUCCUGUUUCCUUCUUCAGCUUUCCUUUCAGCAGCCAUAAUCAUGUUCACUACUACUAUUUGCUGCAACUAUCUUUGGGAAUCUACCAUGCGACACCUUCUCCUUCCAGUCAGAUAAUUUAUAUUCUUUUUUUCUGGUUUUUAAGUUCUUUGUUGUUUUGGUUUCCCUAUGCCUUGCUGAGACUCUAGCAGCUUUUAAUAACCUUUCUUCACUAUUACCUACCUAGGAGUCUAUAUCUAUUUUAGCUAACUCCAUGCAGUCUUCUACUGAUAUUAACUCUCUUCCACCUUCCUUUCUAGGUAGGUAUAAUCUUGGUACUCCUGUCCUUGGGUGGAGUCCUCUAUUCAUAUUGAAUUCCUUCCUCAUUCUAUCUAGCUUUGUUAAUUCAGAUUUUGUCCAAUCUACAAAAGCUUCUGAAUAUCUAAGUAACAACAUUGCCCAAGUAUUUACAGCCUUCCCUAGUUUUGACUUCAUUAGCUUCCUCAACCUUCUGAUGUGCUCCUUCUCAAUUUUCGUUUUCAUUUCUGUAGUUAGUACACUGUCAGAUUCUAAUACUCCUAGAUACUUAUAACUCUCUCCUCUUUUCAGUGAUUUUAAUGUCUGGCCAUCUGGUAAUUGGAUGCCUUCACUGUUAACUACCUGUCCUCUUCUCAUGAUUAAUAUUGCACAUUUAUCUAUGCCAAAUUCCAUGCCUAUAUCUUUGCUGAAGAGUCUUACAGUCUGCAUAAAGGAAUCUAUCUCAUUUUCAUCUUUAAUAAAAAGCUUCAAAUCAUCCAUGUAGAACAAAUGGUGAAUUUUUUCAUUACUUUUUCUGAAAUGAUACCCUGCCUUUACCUUCCUUAAUACUAAACUGAGGGGCAUCAAGCAUAAGAUAAAUAUUAAAGAGGACAAUGAGUCCCCCUGGAAAAUUCCACUUUUGAUAUUAACUUUCCCUAAGAGUGUGUCACCUGAGUAAAGAUCUACUUUCCAUUUCUUCAUGCUAAAGCUAAUUAAUUCUCUUAUAUUGUCUGCUAUACUGAAUAUACUCAAACAUCCACUUAUCGAUGAGUGUGGGAUCAUGUCAUAGGCUUACCUAUAAUCUAUCCAUGCUAUUGUUAAACUUUUUCUUUCUAGCUUUUACUUCAUUUAGAGCUGCUUUUUCUAUAUAUAAUAGAUCAUGUGUUCUUCUAUAGGGUCCUAUCAGAAGCAACCAUCAUUAAACUUUCCAGCUGGAUUCCCAAACAUGACCAACUGAAACUAUGGAUAUUAUCAAAAUUUCAUUCAUGAUCUUCCCUUUCUUGCAAGUUGGCUUGGCUUGAAUACGCUAUUAUGAUUCUUUCCUGCCAUAUUCUAAUCACAUGUUGUGUUUUUAAAAAAAUAAUUUAAGGAUUUAGAAAAUCCAUAUUUAUGUUUGACCUUAUUGAAAAAUAUGAUUCAUAAUCUUUUUGUACAGAAAUAGGAUAUUUAAGUUUUCUGUAUUUUUCUACUGAAGCAGUUUUUAAAAAUUUCCACGUGAAGUGCACCAGUAAGUAGUUUUAAAGUUUCCUUGUAAGGUGUUGUGUUAAGUUUUGACCUGAUUUCUUGUGUAAAAGGAAGUCAAAAGGAUUGACAAGUCAUUAUAUUCGUGCUUCAUAUUAAGUGUUUGCAUUGAAUUGCAUGGACUGCAGCCUUUAACUGAACCUCAUAUACCUAAUUAGUCUUUUUUAUAUUUUAUACUAUUUUCCUUUUGUUGUGCCACUGGCUCAAGGACGGAGAGAGAUAGAGAGGGGGGAGAAAGAGAGGGAGAGAGAGAGUAUGUGUGUGUGCAGCAUGUUAUAACUUGUGGAGUGUUUUUGAUAAUUUAUUAUUUGCUGUGAUUUGUGAGAGCAGUUUAAAACAUUUCUCACCUGAUAUUAAGUUUUCCUCACCAGCUAGUUCAAAUUUUCGUACAUUUGUUCAGAUUUUCUGGUAAUUAAGAAGACAAGAGAUAGAUUUCUUUUAGACUAAGACGUUGGUUCAUCUCAGAUGUUCUGGUAUAUAUUCUGAUGAUUAGGAAAAUUGAAUCAUGCAGAAAUGAGCAUACUGCUCAAAUCACUUACUAAAAUACUUAAAAUAGAUUUGAACUCCAGAUUUUUUAAUACGUAGCAUAAUGCUAUAUUCAGUUGCUUAUUUCUCAUCUCUGGCAUGUAGUUUAUUUUUCUAAAUGCACUCAAAUUUUUUAUAUGCAAGUGCAUUCUAAAUGUGAGUCCAGCAUUCCUGGAUAGUAGGUGCUAUUGUGUUCAAGGCAAUAUAAUCAAGCAUUUAAUAUAAACCAGUGUUUACAACAUCAUUGUCAUUUUCAUCCUCAUCAUCGUCAUCACCAUUUUUUAACAUCCAUGUUCUGUGCUGGCAUGGGUUGGAUAGUCCAAAAGGAUUCGACAAACCAGAAGACUGCAUUGAACUCCAAUGUCUGUUUUGGCAUGGUUUUGAUAGCUGGACACCCUUCCUAACAUCAGCUACUUUACAGUGUUUAUUUGUAACUAGUUGUGUUACUGUUAGAUUAUUUAAUCUUCAUGAGACAGUAUAAUAUGCACCAUAAAAAUCAGCAGAAAGAAGAAAGUUAUUUCUUACAGAUUUUGUUUUCCUGUGAAUUUAGCAUUAUGGUCAAUAUACAGAAGGUUGUAGUAGUUGGCUGUUUUACAAUGGUAAGUGGAAAAUAACAAUGAAAAACUUGUGCACCUUUAGCAAUAACUGCCUCUGUUGCAGAUGUUAAGAACAGGUUAUUUGUUAUAAAUAGAAAUAUGUGUAACAUCUGAAAGUGAAAAUUACUGUCCCCAAAUAUUCCAAGAGGGUUUGUAUUUUUACAUGUUGGGACAUUAAAGGUAGGUUGGAGAACAAUAAGAAGUUAAUCUGUAUUUAAGACAAGAAUGUUUACUUAAACAACAGAACUUAUCUGAGUUUGAUGCUGACUCUCACAAAUUUCUAAGUGCUUAUACUGAGAACAAUGGAAAGUAUCUCAUAGAAAAAUCUAGACUAAGAUUUCAAUUCCUGACUAAGAAUCCAAGAAACAAUUUAUCUUAUACUUGAUGCUCUUUUUGUGACACCUGGAUGGGUGAAAUCCCCAAGUAACUCACAAGACAAGACCCCCUCAAUUGAGCUGGGGUGCAGUAUUGAGUGAGAUGUUUUGUGUCAGAGGUUGAGAGGCUAAAGUAUAAUAGAGGGACUGGAAUAGGUAUCUCUCUGUAGAGGAGACACAUGGCUACUCCAGAAAGAAAGAGAGAAAAGAUGGUAGAGGUGAGAUGUCAAAGUGUACCCUCAAGACACUAGAAGGUGAUUAUAUGAGGGGACAGACAGUUGAGGAUGAUUGGAUAGGUAGGUUUGCAAGAAUACGAAAGGGGAGUGACAGGUGGAGAUGAGGAUUAACAGACAGAGAUGUGGUCAGUGGAAAAUCUCAGAUUGAGGGACAAGGUAAAAGUGUAGAGAAGAGAAAGUGAUAAGUGACAGUACAAAAGAAAGUGAGGUGGAGAGUAGUGAUAUUAUAUAACAAUAGAUAGAUGUGAAAUAGGGAGAUGAUGUGAAGUGGUGUAGGGAAAGAGAUGCACAGUGAUAGGCAUGGAGGUCAGAGGCUUGCAGGAGCAGACAUUGUGAUUGAUAAGAGUGGGGAGCGAUGCAGUUAUGUGAGAGAGUUCAAAGGAAUGAGGUGUUCAGUGGAAAAUAAUGUAGAAAUGGAUGAUGAUGCGAAUGUGGGAUGAGUAACAAGGAAAGUGAUUUGGAAAGGUGUAACUGGUGGCACAAAAAUUUUGAUGAAAUAUAUGCAGACAAGUUGUAUGGAUAGUUUCACAGGUACAGAUUGGAUACAAAGGCAGGAAGGGGAGUAUGAAUGUUACAACCAUUUCUUCAUCUCUCAGAUGAUUAACGGGAAAAAAAUUAAAUGAAAUGUCAAGGAAGUGACUGUCAGUGCUAUGGAAAUAGCCUUGUUGGUCAUUGAUGACUUUGCCAAGAAUAUUAUUAGAGUAUUGGAAGUCAUUGAUAUCAAUAGGUUAUUGAAACUAUAUUGCAGAAAAAUUCACCUGAAAGUUAUUUCUUGAAUUAAGGUUCCCUAUUAUUGCAUGAAAUAAAAAUUUGAAGGCAUUCAAGAUCUUCAUAAAGAAUCAGAAAUUAUUCAGAAUGAAAUUUUUAUGGGCUAGUCAAAACAAUGAAAGCAGUUCCUAUGAGUUUUGCAAGUCAGAUUAACAUAUUUGAGUGUAGGGAUGAUGGUUAUAUUAAUGUGGUUGAGUUCAGAGUAAUUAGAUUAAUGUUUUUGUGAUAAGGUGGUCAAGUUCACUUUAAAUCUCAACAAACCAAUGAGAGGGGGAAUUGAAGAGAGUUGAAAUUCUGAUGAAGAAAGACUGAGUACAAGAUUUGGGAGAUGAGACAAUAGUGAUGAUGGGAAGAGAAGAGAUAAAGGGAUGUGGUGGGCCUACAUGGUGCAGAAGUCAGAUGGCUGGUUCAAAAGAACAAAGGCCAUUACAGUAGCACUAGACAAGACAAAGAAAGGAAACUGUGUUGUCUGUAAAAGUCAUCAUAGUUGAAGCAUUGAAGUGAAUUUUUAUCAAUUGAUCUUACAACUAUCUUUUGGAUGUGGCAUUGAAUGUGUGUGUGUGUGUGUGUGUGUGUGUGUGUGCGUGCGUGCAUGUGCACACGUAUGUUCAUGUUUGAGAGUGGGGCUUCAAGGGCCAUGGAUUGAAUUUGUACUCCAGACCAGUCUAAUGAAAAUAGGGAGACUACAGCACCUACAGCAAUCAUAUUCAAAAGAAUAUGAGGUGGAGUGGAUACUAAAUGAUGCAAACAGCUGAGGGUGGUAAAUGGUUCAGCCUCUGUAGUAGAAGUGAAGAUGAAAUGUGUUGUGGAAGGAUCCUGACCAUCCCCAAGUGACCGAAAGUGGACGAAUGCAUUUCAAUAAAAUAAAGAAACUGUGUGAACUGUAAGUUGUUGACAGUGUUGAUCAUCCAUAUUGGUUAUUGUGUUAGUUUAAUAUCAUAACUAUGUUUGGAGUAGUAUAGAGUGCAUUCUGUGUGAACAUAUUAAUUCUGCAAAAGCUUAUUCUAGAUAACCAUAUCCAAAUAUUUAUUCAGGUAAUACUAUUCUUACACUGUUGUGCACAACUUCUGCCAUAACAAAAUACAAGAGCUGGGAGAAAUUAUAUUCAUCAACACAACCAGGGAUAGUCACUUCAAAGAGAAAUAAAGAACAUUCAUAUUUUCAAUACAAGAAGUGAGAUAAUCAAAUAGCUGAUGGUAAUUAGAGGAAUUUGAGUAAAGACAACAGAUGAACUUAGAAGAAUAAGAAAGAGGGGAUUCAUGCCAAGAAGAACGAAGUUGUUACUGAAAGUUAGGUAAGUAGUGAAGGAAGUGAAGUCUAAACAAACACAGGCAAAGCUUUUCAGUGUAAGGUUGAAAUGUAGAAUAUAGCUCUGAUUAUAUUAUUGAAACUGAAAAGAAACUAUUGUAUGGGAGUAAUACAAGAAGGUAGAUCUUAUGAGAACCAAGUAAGAGAUUAUAUACUACUCAAUAUCUUUGAGUUGUGAAAAGAAUACCCAUUCCCCUCAAUUCAGAUCCUAGAUGUAGUUUUAGAUACAUCGAGUAUUGUGGUAGAGGCCUCUAAAGAUAGACCCAUUAUAUAUCUAAAUACUAACAGCUGAAACAUUCUGGAUUAGACAAACAUAUAAGCUGAUGUUUCUUAGUUCAAAUCUUUGAAGAACUUUAUUUUUGCUGCUAGUAAAUCAAUGAAAAGAAAUACCAGCAAUUGGGUAAGUUCAAUAUUUUCAAUUAUAUUUUCUCCUUCAAUAAAAUAGGCAUAAAACUAAAGGAAAAAAAUCAAUAUUUGCAAUCAUAGCAUCUUUGUGAAUGUAAGGAAAAUAGCCAUAUGAAGAAGACAAAGUAGCUGAAAGAGAUUUAGAGGGUUACUGACUUUUAAUAACAACAAAUCAAUUCUCCAUGUCAAAGUCAGAUAAAUGAUAUUGGGGGAAAAGAGUUUCAGAGUAAAAUUACUAACAUUUCCAUCUUCUCCCUGCUUCCUUCCAUAAGACUUUGAAGAUCACUGGUCUUUACUGGAUUAAAAUGGCUAUAUACCCAUCAGGAUUGGCUACAUAACUUCAUUCCAUACAUCCACUCAAAGAGGAUCAAUGCAAUGAUUAUAAAGUAUUUUAACAUGUCUACAUUCACUUUUCUAAAGCAGUUUGAUUUAUUUGGUGAAUAAAUUCAUAUUUCCCAACAUUUAAACAACCAGUCUGUGGUAUGGAGGAUAAAUACAUUGAGAUAAAGAGCUGAGUUCAAUCCAAACCAAAAUUUACGUUGAUAUAUCAUUGUUGUUGUUGCGACUAUUGCUGUCAUAGUUGUUGUUGUUGUUGUUAUUUAGUCCCAGGUCAGUUCUAAUCAAACAUAACAACUAUAAAAGGUAUUUCAGUUGAGGCAUUCUUGUCAUUUUGUGGGUGUAGGAUAUUAUCUAAUAUACCGAUUCUUUAUUGAAAACUACAGGAUGUAAGUUGAAGGAAAUUUGGCUGCUAUUUCUUGCAAGUCAAGCAGCCAUGUAUGUAGCUUGUAUGUAAAAUCCGUGUAUAUUGCACAUAGGUUGUCUUAAGACAAUAAAUCUGCUAUAAAAAUUGAAACUAUUCUAGAUUUAUGAGACAGAAUUGCAUAUUUUGUUUAUUUCCAUUAGUUGGAGUAUCUCCCUGCAAUUUCUUUUCCUAGAUUAUGAAUAUUUCAUUAAUGAGGACAGAAGUUCAAUUUUUGCUUGAAGAAGAUUAAGUAGACAUAAUUACAUAAUUAUAGUAAUAAUUACAGUUUUGAGCACUAAUGGUUUCCUCUCAAUGUUUUGUAUUUCUAUAGUGUUGUAGUGAGACCCAUUUCUGUUGUGACAUUUUGUAGUUAACUAGCCUAGUUUGACCUAUCAUGUGAGUUUGGAACAUUUGGUUGAGUCCUGUAUUUUGAUUGAUCGAAUACUGCAUGGGAUAUGGAUAUCGGAUCCAAUCAUGUUGUAUGUAAUACUUUCUAAAUAACUAACUUGAACCAUCACUGAGAGCCUAUGUCUGCCUAUACACAACCUUAACAAAACUUCCAUGACAGAGAGGUGAGAGGAUUACAGGAGGAUGCAUCGUGAUAUUUUUCUGCUGCUAUAAUGCAGCACUUGUAACCAAUGGCAGCCAGAGCCUAAUUACCCAAAUGAUGGACGAACUAUACAACCUCCAGAAUCUAUGAUUUGUUAUUUGGUCCACAGUAUAAUUUAGCAAAGGAAUAAAGUCUCGCUGUUAUUUUAAAGUUUGUUUUUUGUAUUACAUGCAAAACAUGCUUUUUGUAUAACACGCAACAUAUGUUAUAUAAUGAUGUCCAAGAUUCCAUAGUAAACCAAGAGAGACUUUAUAACCACAUAGCUAAAGUGUUAUACAAGCCAGGGUGAGAGUCUCAACAUGAGCAAACAAGGGAACCUCUACAUAAACCACUACAUGGUUACUUAAAAUAUUAAGAAUAACAACCAAAUCACCCUCAAAUCAUAACCAAUCAUCUUGGAAGAAUAUAUUAGAGACUGUACGCUUAACUACAUUGUAGCUGAAGGAAUGAGAGGACAGUCAAAGUUAGAUUACUUCAGCUACAUCACAACUGAGUCUCACAGCUCAACAAUAACAAUGAUAACUGAGCACCUUCAUAUGUCAGCUCAGUCAGAGCUGAAUUUAAAGUCUAAACAAUCACAACAAUAACUGAGUACCUUCACAUCAGUGUAUCAUAAUUUUUGGCAGCCAAGUUAGUGAAUAUAGAAUGAUAGGUAUAAGAGCUUACUCCUAGCAAUGUACUUCACUUGAACUUGUCUCACAAAGAAUAUGGUAUUAAUGGUGCUAAGGCGGUGAGCUGGCAGAAACAUUAGCACACUGGGCGAAAUGCUUUUGCGGUAUUUCGUCUGCCGCUACAUUCUAAGUUCAAAUUCCGCCGAGGUCGACUUUGCCUUUCAUCCUUUUGGGGUCGAUUAAAUAAGUACCAGUUACGCACUGGGGUCGAUAUUAUUGACUUAAUCCGUUUGUCUGUCCUUCUUUGUCCCCUCUGUGUUUAGCUCCUUGUGGGUAGUAAAGAAAUAGGUAUUAAUGGUGCUUGUUCCGGAACAUAUUUUCUUAACACCAGCACUAUAGAGAUUGUCUUACCAUCAACGAGUGUGUGUGUGUGAGAGAAUUAAAGUCCUGAGGUUGUAUAGUGUUCAGUAAGUUCAAGUAUGUUGAUGUGUUUCUUGAUAUGCUGUUGUGACUUGAUAUGUUGAUGUUGUUUGCUAAUAAUAAAUUGUUUUGUCCUCCUUACACAGUGUGUUCUGGUCUCCUUUCAUAGAAAUUAAGUCUGGUGAGUGUCAAGGUUUUGUGUAGUUAAUGCUCAUAAGUGAAAGGGUAGGGAGGAGUGAACUGUGUAAGUGCAUAUCUUUAUCUUCCUCCUCCUCUUUAUCAUCAUCAUUUAAUAUCACUUUUCCAUACUGGCUUGCGUUGGAUGGUUCAAUAGGAUCUGAAGAGUUGGAGAAUUGAUCAAGCUCCAGUAUUUGCUUUGGCAUGAUUUCUAUGGUUGAAUUCCUAAUGCCAGUACACUCUGUAAAGUGUUACAGAGUGUACUGGGUGCUUUCUUUUUUAUAGCACCAGCACUAGUGAGGUUACCAAGUAACUUGCAAAACAAAGAGAAAGAACAACCUUCAAUUGAGUAGGCUUUAUGCCAGGAUUUGAGAGGCUAAAGUAUGAUAGAGGAACAGGAACAUAGGUUUUGCUAUAGAGGAAAUAUAUGGCUACCCCACAUUAAGGUGGGUGUGAGUAACUGGAAAGAGAAGUAAAGAAGGUGGUGGUGAAGUGUUAGAGCAUACCCACAAAGUACAAGAAGGUGAAUAGAAGAGGGAAUAGAGACAGAGGAUUGAGAAGGAUAGGUGGUAAGUUUGUAAGAAUAUGAGGGGAGACUGGUAGAUGAUUAAAGAUUGAGAUAGAGGUGAAUGUAGUGACCUGUUGCAUCCUGUCAAACUUUCUAGCCCUUGCAAGCAGAAGUAUCAAGGCAUGUUUGUUGCUAAAUAUGAGUUUGGUGAGGAAGAUGAAAGAAAUAAGGAGUGACUCAAGAAGAAGGAGGUGAUAAGAGACAAUGCAAAAAGGAUAGAGGGCAGCAGAAUAAUAAAACUAGAGGUAAAAUAGGGAAAAAUAGGGAGAUGAUGUAUUGGAAGGUGGGAGAAGUGCAUAAAUUAAUUUUUAAUUUUGUUUAUAAUUUUAUAAUUCUUAUAAUCUUUUUUAUAAUUUUAUUUUCAUUCUUGUUGGAUCCUGCUUAUUUGUCCACCAUAUUCACCCAGCACCCCCAACUGCCAGUUCUGCCUCCAUGAAAACUACAUAUCCUCCAACAACCCACAGUAUUCAUCAAUAAGAAAUAUGAUUUAUCUUAUUGCUGUCACCAGUGGUGUGCCCUUCUGGCAAAUUUCAAAUCUCUGACUGUCGACAACCCAGAUAUACCACCUUAGUACCAGCUGCUACUCUGCACCAAGGUCACCAUCACCAACCAACCUUAUGAGCAGGAUGACCAAUUACCAACCCUCAACACAUACCAAUCCCCAACACUUGCUAAUCCCCAAUGCUUACCAAUUCCCAACAUUUACCUACCCCCAACACUUACCUACCCUAACUCUUGUCAUACGCAUUAUACUGAUGUAUGCGUGUGGGUGCAGGUGCACAUAUGCAUGUGCACACUAAUAUGCAUGCAUGCAUUGUACAUAUGAAUUCAUGCACAUGUGUGGUUGUGUGUAUGUGCAUGCGUGUGUGUGUGUGCAUGCAUAUGCAUGACUGUUCGUAUAUCUAUAUGUAUGCUUAUGUGGGGGGGCAUGUGCAUAUGCACCCAUGUACAGAUGUGCAUGCUCACAUUAAUACAGACAUGCACACAAGACCAUAUGAGCACAUCCAAACACCCACAUACACAACUAUAUAUUAGCACACACUGCCCCUUCCUACCUCCCUUCCAACAACCUGACAGAUUUCCUGUCUACAACAUGGUCAGUUUCCUACCCACUAUGUGGUCUACUUCCUGUCCACCAUAUGGUAUUUUCAAACUAACUGUCAUCACUGAUAUAUGGUUAUACCAACAUCAAACCACGACACCACAUGACCUUCCUCAAGCAAUCACUGCCCACCUUACAGUAAUAACAAUCAACUUCUUUCAUUCAAAUUCAAAAUGGCUGAAGAUUAGCAUCAUGCUUGAAACUUUUGGAGUACCAACAAAUUUGAAUCAAACUGUUUUGAUCCAUAUAUAUAUAUGUUUAUAUGCAUGUAUAUAUGUAGAUAUAAACGGCGGUGCAUCAGCAUGGUCGCAGCUCUGAGCUGAAACUACAUCAAAAAAAAAUAUGUAUAUAGAUGGAUAAAUAGAAAGUUAGAUCAACAGACAGACAGACAGACAUAUAGAUAGAUAGAUAGAUCUAUAUAUAAAUGAGAGCAAGACAUGGUUCUCUGACCUGUUGCAUCCUGUCAAACUUUCUAGCGCUUGCAAGCAGAAGCAGAUGAAAAAUAGUGAUGAUGAUGAUGAUGAUGAUGAUAUACAUACAGGGUGGGGAAGCAAAACUUACAAUGAACGUUAAGUUGUUUUUUCUCAGCAGGCACUAAGUCAAUUGUUUUGAAACCUAGCAUAUAUUGAUGUCAUAACCAUACCUAACACUAUUAUGCUUACCUUUUCCGAAACUUUUGCCCAUUUGAGUAAUCAGGAAAGCAAAUGUCAAAAAGUUUGUGAUUUGCUGAAUGCACUCGUCACACCAAAGGAGAUUUCAAGAAUAGUUGGAGUGUCCAUAAAGACAGUUUAUAAUGUAAAGAAUAGAAUGACUAUGAGCAAAACUAUUACGACGAAGUCUGGAAGUGGAGGAAUCAACAAAAAACGUACCAAAGCUUUUAUUAAAUCUCUCAAAUCCAAAAUCCUAAAGGAGCCAACCAAAUCCAUGAGAAAAAUGGCAAUUGAACUUGAGGUAGACAACAAGACCAUUAGAAAUGCAGUAAAAUAUGAUUUGAGGUUAAAAUCUUGCACAAGAACACCAAAAUACUUGUUGACAACAGUUAUGAAGGAAAAGAGAUUGGAAAGGUGCAAGAAAAUUAUUACAUGGUUCAAGAAAAAGUCCUCCAUUAUAACAAUCUUUUCAGAUGGAAAGAUCUUCACUGUCGAUGCUGUUCUGAACCGCAGAAAUGACAGAUUCAUCACAAAAUCGACAGCUGAGUUUAAGGGGACAUUCAAAACAAAACAUCCUGCUCAAGUUAUGGCUUUUGGUGUUGUGGCUUCCGAUGGAAAGAAAAUGCUUACAAAAUUCUACAAAGCUGAUGAAAAGAUCAAUGUUAAUACUUACUACAAGACUCUGAGAAACCAGGUAUUGCCAUGGCUUAAAGCAAACUGCCCAGAUGGUAAUUAUGUAUGGACAGAGGAUGGUGCUCCAGCCCACACAGCUAGAAAAAUACAAGAUUUCAGUAAAUCCAACUUUAGCAAUUUUUUGGAAUCAUGUUUAUGGCCGUCUUCUAGCCCAGAUCUAACCCCACUGGAUUAUGCAAUUUGGGGCGUUUUAGAACAUGCUACCAAUAGAACAUCACACAGCAAUGUCGGCUCUCUUAAAGAUACUAUUAAAGAAGAAUGGGAGAAGUUGUCUCCCGAAUUUUUGAGGAACACUUGUGCAAGUUUCAGGAAGCAUGUGAAGGCAGUUAUUGAGAAAGAAGGAGAACACAUAGAAUAAAAACAUUUUCUAUUAUGUAAAUUUUCUUGUGGCAAAUAAAUUCUCAUAACUUUCAAUAAACUAAUUGGUCAUACAGUCUUUCAAUCCCUGCCUCAAAUAUUGUAAAUUUUGCUUCCCCACCCUGUAUAUAUUCCAUCAUUCAUCUUAUCAGUGUGUGGCAUUUCCACACAACAUGGAUCCACAUACAGAAGGAAACAGAGAGAACAACAUUUCAUAUUCAAACUCUGUGUUGUGUGUGUGUGUGUACAUAUAUGUGUGUAAGUGUGCGUGUAUGUUUUGUUUCUUUGUUUUGACAUUGCAUGAUAGCUGUAAAUGAGUGUCACUGUCAUACAAGCAGUGUCAUUCAUUUCCAAUAUGUCUGGCCAUGAGAAAUAUUACCUUGCUUGGAAACAGAUGAUGGUUGGUGACAGCCAUUGAAUAUCUACCUCAAUAAACUCUGUCCAACCUAUGCAGGUUUUGGAAUGGUUUCUUAGGGUCUACUUUUAGGAAUUCAGUGUUCUUCCUUUUCCUUGUAGAUGUGGUUGGAACCUAAAAAGUGUCUAGUACCCAAUUCAUUGGUUAUUUCUACUCUUGUUGAUUCCUUUUCUAUGACUCUUUCCAUAAGCUGAUUUCUAUGUCUUCUUAUACCAUACAUUAUUCUUCCUACGUAUGUUACAAUUUCUCCUUCUUCCCAGUAUUGCUUGCUAUUUCAGUACAUUCUUACAUAUACCUUAUCACUGAUUUUAAUGAAUUUUGGUAUGUCUGUACUAGCACAUCUUUUUUCUUCACUGGUAACAGUUUAUUGAAUACUGAGUUCACGUUUCUGACAAACAUUAAUUCUGCUGGCACAUUUGAGUUUGGAGUUACCCUGUAUACCUUUAAGAAUUAUUGGAUCAUGACCUCAUCUAUGGCUUCCUUAUUAGCUUUCUUUAAAAUUCUCUUAAAAGUGUCCAUGAACCAUUCAGCCCUUCCAUUCAAUCUAGAGUGAUACGGUGCUAAAAUUUUAUGUUCUAAUGUGAACAUCUCACAGAAUCUUUUAAACUUACAAGAUACAAACUAUGUUCCAUUAUCAGAGACAAUAAUAUAUCUGGUACACCAAAUCUUGUGAACACCUUGUGUAAGAAGUUUAUUACCAUAUAUGAGAUUGGUCGUUUACACCUCAUGACCUCAGGCCAUUUUGUAUAGCUCUCCACUACUAUUAAGUAAUAAUAUCCAUUUACUAGGCCUGCAAUAUCGAUAUGCAAUCAGGGCCAUGAAAUUUUCUCUUCCAGCCAAGGUUCACAUUUUGUAGUUGGUAGUUCCAUUGCUAGUACAUAUCCUCUGUAGUCUUUUACCAGGUUUUCAACUUCAUUGUCAAUUCUUGGCCAGUAUAUGAAACUUCACAUCAGCACUUUCACUCUAGAGAUGUCUGGAUGUCCCACAUAGAACUCCUUUAGCAUUAUCUUCUGUAAUACCUGUGGUAUGAUCACCCUCUGAGCAUACAUUAUUACACUAUCAGACAUAGAGUACAUACUCACUUCUUGGCAAUUCUUUUCAUCAGACCUUUCAUUAUUUCCUUUUGUCGACCACAGUUUUCUUUGUGUCUCAUUAAUAGAUUUGUCCUUUCUCACAUUUCUUUACAUUUCUUCCAAAGUUACUGCUAGUUCACGCACGAUGUUCCACAUCACUUAUUUUGUUUCAGUUCAUCGACUUCGUUCAAUUGUCUGACUGCUCCAUUUACGCUAUUGCACAAAGUGCUUAUGGGUGUAUCCUAUAAAUCAAAUUUCUCCAUAAAUUCAUGGGUUUUUUCCACACAUAAACAUUUACUUUUUUGGUUUGACCUUUGAAUAUUAUAUUACAAACACAUUCACCUGUAAAAUAUAAUUCUCUUCCCAUAACACUGCACAGUAUUUUGUUUGAACUACAUAAUUUUGGCUAACCUAUUUGUUCCCAUCUUUUCUCAUUUAUGAUUGUGAUGUCUCUUCCCGUGUCUAAUUGCAUUCUGAUGCUAGUGGUUUCAAUUCUCACAUUCAUGAAUUUUCUGUUUGUUGUAGUCACAACUUUUCCUGCUGACAAACCAUUUAUUUUUUCUUGUUUGUCCCAAUUUCCUAUCAUUCUAGUUUUGCAGUGUGAUUUUAAAUGUCCUGUAUACCCACAUCAAAAACACCUUGUUUUUUACAUGGACAAUCUCUUUUCAAGUGCAUCCUACCACAUGCCCAUACAUGGGCCCACAUCCCAAUAUUUUUUCUGUUUUUCCUGCAACACUUUAUUUGUCUUCUGACCUUUUUGCACUGGUCUUAUGUGAAAACACUCUUUCUGUAGAAUUUCUUCCGUGUCAUGCCUCUUAAUUCUAAUAUCCUGUCACACCCUUCCAACAGUUUCUGCAAUGUCAAAUCUUGGUUCAUUUCCAGUUUUGAUAGAAUUUUCAUUUGGAUUUCUGCAUCCCUUUUAUCUGUCAAUCCUUGUGCAAAAAUCAAACACUUGAAAGAAUCUGGAGUAAGCAUAUCCAGCCUAAAUCUCUCACAUUCUUUGUUGACUCUACCUGUGUAAGUAGUGAAGUCUUCAUCUUCGCUCUUUUCUAUGUUUUAACGUUUCCAUCUAGUAUCAAAUAGUGAGCUCCUUUCACUAAACAUUUUGCACAAAAUGUCAACUGUGUUGGUGAAAUUUAUGUCAGACACUUUUUAUGGCAAUAUGAAGUUACUAUACUUCUCAUGCUCUGCUGCUGCUAAUUUUCUUAAAACUAGACACGUUUUCAUUUCGUCCAUCCAGUCCUGACAUUCUUUUUCAAAAAUUUUUUGAAAUCUUCGAAAGUAAGCCUCAAAGGUUACUCCUUCUUUGAGGUCAUAUUUGAAUUCGCUUAUGGAAUUUGCUACAUGGUCAGGUGAAAAUGUAUUCUCCGGUUUGGUUAUCAACUUCAUUAGUGCAACAUUUGCUGCUGCAAUCUUUGUUGUUGUUGCUGUUUUUGCAACUCAACUAUCCCAGCUAACAAGUCUUCUGUAUUUUAACAUUUUCGUUAGUUUGCACAAGAUUAUUGUUUCUUUUUUGUCAAGGUAUCUAAUUUUCCACAUGAAUUAGUUGAAACUCUCCGUGUGAAUGUUUUUUUUUUCACGUUGCAUAAAUUUGUGUUUUUCUUAUCGCCAGUGUUGUAAAGCAAUCUUUUACCACUGUUGCAUCUGUCUUUUGACACCCGUUGUCACUCUGACAGAUAUUGUUAUAUUCUGAAAUCAUCAAUAGAAUGGUUCUAUCUGACACUGUAUGACCCCCAGUCAUACAGUGUUAUUAUCCUCAAAGGGUUUGAUCAUUAUAAGUCCACUCAGUAUCACAGCAUAAUUACUAAAUCAGCACAGACACGACUAUCAACAGUUUACACAUACUCUCAACCUUCUGACCUUCUGCUGUCAACCAGCUACUGGUCUAUUUAUAAUGGCUGGCUACUACCACUUUUUACCGGGAGGGGUGUACAGUUUCACUAAACAGCAGAGAGUGAGAGAGAGAGUGAAAAGUAAUUUUUUUUAAUUGAACUAAGUUUUUUAUACCACCUAUCACUUAAUGCAUGUGCAUUCCAAACUUGCCAUUCACUUUAGAAAGAAACCAGUUUCCCAUUCACCUAGUAUAUGCAAUAACUAUCAAUAAAUCACAAGGGCAGACAUUUGAUAAAGUGGGUUUGCUCUUGCCUGAACCUGUACUCAGCCAUGGUCAGCUGUAUGUUGCAUUCUCAAGGGCUUGCAAAUUAUCUGAUGUGAGAGUUAAAGUUAUCAACACUGAUAAACAAGGGAAAAGCAGAGGGAGAACAUACAUGAAGAACAUAGGCUUCAAAGAAGUAUUGGAUGGAAAGGUGUAUGUGAAUUGAAAUGGGUAUUGGCUCUGACCCGUCACCUUGGCUUAUAAGUUACCAACAAUGUGGUUUUCAGAGUAUGCAUUAAAUUUUUACCCCCAUGAAUUUUACAUAUAAAAUUUAUUUUUUUUACUAUAAAAUUUUUGAUUUCUAGAAAUGAAAUUGUGACCAUGUAAAUUUUAAAAUGUAAUUUUUUAUGAUUAUGGGAAAACUGGAAAAAUAGGAGUGAAUAUUUAUUUUAUGAGUGCUGUGUAUUAAGUCUAUAAAAUUGUGCAUAAAGUAUAUGAAGUAUAUAUAUAUAAAGUGCAUUAACUAAUCAUUGUAUUCCAAUUUCUUUCACUUUUCAAUGAGUGACUAUCUUUUGAUACAGACACAACACAGGCUACCCUUUUAGGUUUUCUAGAUAAAGUUUUCAAGAAUAACCCAAUAGGUUUACUAUUAAUUCCAUCAUCAUCAUCACAAUGAUGAAGAUGAUGAUGAUGAUUCACAGGUCCUCCAAGUUAUGAUUAUUAUUAUUGUUCACAAUUUAUAUCAUUUGAUACAUUUCAACUUGACAUCAGCACCUUUGUCUCAAGCUCCUUCACGAUAGUUAGAAAUUGUUGCAAAUAAUAUCAACUAUUCCAGCCCAACAAUUGAGAUGCUGGUAGAUCUUAUACAAUUAGCAAAUAUGAGUUGUUUCACUGGUAAAUGUACAUCACUCUAAAUAGACUUGUUCACCUAGCAUCUAUUUUCGCACCAUCGAGAAUGGCUGAAGAUAGUUGUGUGCAAAAGUGCUACACCCUAGCAGUUGAGGGAACCUGUGGAAGAGGUAGACCCAGGAAAACCUGGGACGAAGUGGUGAAGCACGACCUACGAACUUUAGGUCUCACCAAGGAAAUGACUAGAGACCGAGACCUAUGGAAGUAUGCUGUGCGUGAGAAGACCCGGCAAGACUAGUCAGGCCAUAACCCGUGGCCCCUACCUGGGACGUAGUCAGUCCACCUGUGCAUACCUUCCUUCUUGUGACACUUGUGAAGACCUGUUGAGGCAUGUGAAAAUCAAACAAAAUCAAAAUAGAUGAACAUCAAUGGAAUUUGUAUCUUUGUGGUACCAGUGCCGGUGGCACACAAGAAAACCAUCCGAACGUGGCCGUAGCCAGUACCGCACCGACUGGUCUCCAUGCUGUGGGCACGUAACAAUCACCAUCCAAUCGUGGCCGAUCACCAGCCUAAUCUGGCUCCUGUGUCGGUGGCACAUAAAAAACACCAUCCGAGCGUGGUCGUCUGCUAGCCUUGUCUGACACCUGUGUCGGUGGCACAUAAAAACACCAUCCGAGCAUGGCGUUCGCCAGCGUGGCACAUAAAACACCAUGUUCGCCAGCCUCGUCUGGCACCUGUGUCGGUGGCACAUAAAAACACCAUCCGAGCGUGGUCGUCGUCUGCUAGCCUUGUCUGGCACCUGUGUUGGUGGCACAUAAAAACACCAUCCGAGCGUGGCCGUUCGCCAGCUUCGUCUGGCACCUGUGUCGGUGGCACAUAAAAACACCAUCCGAGCGUGGCCGUUCGCCAGCCUCGUCUGGCACCUGUGUCGGUGGCACAUAAAAUCACCCACUACACUCUCGGAGUGGUUGGCGUUAGGAAGGGCAUCCAGCUGUAGAAACACUGCCAGAUCUGACUGGCCUGGUGCAGCCUUCGGGCUCCCCAGACCCCAGUUGAACCGUCCAACCCAUGCUAGCAUGGAAAGCGGACGUUAAAUGAUGAUGAUGAUGAUGAUAGUGUGUGUUAAGGUACAGCAACUUACUCCAAAUCUCCUUUUGGCAGUCUACAAUAGAUAGUUCCCAAUCUUAUAAUAAGGAUCAACUGAAUUGAUUUAAAAAUAUUACUAGGCAAUAAACCAGCCAAUAACUUAUUCUUUCAACAACAGUUUUUCAACAACUUCUACUUUGUUUAUAUUUUUAUUUGAUUACAAAAAAAAAUACAUCAAAAACAUAAGAUUUUAGUUUCAAAUCCUUUAUUUCCUGGUCAACUGUGGAUAACGUAAUAUUUUAUUUUAAUUCUAUUUCAUUAUCUCUUUCUAAUUGUGAAUUCUGUCUUCUCUCUCUCUUCCUCUCCCUUUCUCUCCUCUUCUCUCUCUCUCCCACUCUCUUCCUUAUCUUUUCCUUUCAAAUUUCUUUACAAUAAUUAAAUUGCUUGAUGUCAAAUAUUUGGCUGCCCAAUACAAAAAGAACUAAUAUAAUAAAGUGAUUAUAGUUAUCAGGAUCAAUAUAUGAGAAAUUUGAAUUCUGAGAUAAAACACAAAAAAUAAAAUUUGUAUUCGAAAUACGAUUUUAUAUUUUAUGAGUAUAUGCUCAGACACGCUGAUGCACACAAAAGACUGCCAAACUAAUUAACAGUCCACUAGUAUACAUUUGUUGAGUGGAAUAGCAGAGCAUUAAGAGUCAAUGUUCUUAGCCAUUCCUACCAGAUACAAAGUACUCUACUACAUUGGAUUGGAUAUGAAACCAGCCAACUUUGAAUGAAAAGAAACAUGUAUUAGUUUCUGGAGAUAUCUUGAGAGACAAGUCAUUGAAUCAAAAGAAUCAAGAUGGUAUCCACUGAUAUACUAAGAUAACAAGGUCAAACAAAAUGAAUCAAUCAAAAGGUAGCAAGUAAUAUAAUCUUUAAUCAAUCAUACGUGAAUCUAUUGCAUGGCAUCAGACAUAGUAGAAAACAGUGAUCAAUCAGCAGGAUUUAGUAACAACACACACAAAAUAAAUCUGUCUUUAAGACUCCAUAUUAUUCUGUUGCCAUUUCAGGUUGAAUCAAUUAUAAAAGAGUUCAUCGGUGGAAUUAAUGCCUACAAAACACCAAAACUCAUUGUUUGAACCACACAGGUUAAAACCAAUUAUGACAAACAAAUAUAUUUAAAAAAUUGAAGAACAUUCUUUUUUUUUCUCAGUCUUUAUAUACCAAGUUUGCUAAGUUGCUUUACUUCUGGCUGGAAGAUUGUUAUUAGAAUCUCAUUUUAAACAUUACACUUUAUCCCUUUCAAGGAUCCUUAACUCUUAUCAACCCAUUCUAAAUAAUAGCGUCAAUUUUCUACUCAACCUUCCAGGAUCAAUGAAAUAAACAUUAGUAAUAUCGGUUGUCUAGCUCAAUAAAUUACAUCACUUACUUUCCACAAACAGAUAUCAGCCAUAUGUUAAUAAGCAGUUAUUUCAAAAUAAUUACAAAUUGUAGAAAAAUCCAUUACUUUAAUUAUUAUAAAAUGCAUAUUUAUAAAUAUUUUCAUCCUGUCUUAAAGCAGGCUUAAUUUUCAUCAUAUAUCUAUCUUGUAAUCUAUGAUGAUAUAGCCAUGUAUAGAAAUAGAAAAUGGUUUUCAAGGAAAGCAACUAGAUAUUGUUUUAUUGAGAUUUCCUGAUGAUCUCAGUCUCAUAUAAAAGUGAACCUCAGUUGCAAGAAAACAUGUCUAAAGCCAUCAGAAGCCACAAUACAAAAAUGUUUAUUUUUAAUCUUGAUACAAGGCCACAAUUUCGGAAAGAGGCUAUAGUUAAUUAAAUCAAUUCCAGGGCUUAUUGAAUUAAUUUCAUUUCAAAAUACAUAAAAACAAAGUUUGGCAGUCUUUGAACUUCAAUAAUAAUCCUUUCUGCUUUAGGCACAAGUCCUUAAAUUCAAAAUAAUGGUUACAACCAAAUACAGCAAGGUAUUUCAGGCUAUAAAAUAUAUCUUAGCAACAGAGGCAGUAUUAAUACUGUAAGGUAACAUUUAUCCCCACUUAAAUGGGAAUGUUCUGUUAGAGCAAAUUUUACUGCAAUAGAUACCAUGAGAAAAACUCUCAUAUUGGCUUUGGUGCAGAAUGCAAGCUCAUUUAUACUGCAAGCAGAGAGAUAAAUCCCCAGUGCCAAAUCUUCAGUAUCAAGACCACUAAAUCACAUGAUUUCAAUCUUCCUUGGUCUCAUUAAUGAUAGAUACUCAACUACUUAAGAUAGCAGAGAAUCAUCUUCCUGCCAAUGAUAAUCAUGACACCAGUGCCUGUUAUGGCACUGUUUUUUCUAUAUAUUGCUGGCAGAGAGAUGAGUUCCUGCUAUCUCUUGUAGUUGAGUAUCUAUCAUUGAUGAAACCAAAUGAAGACUGAAAUCACAUAAUCUGGUGGUCUCAGUGCUGGAGAUGGUGGAGAUUUAUUUCCCUGCUAGCGAUAUAAACAAGAGUCCAUUUUGCACCAAAAGCAAUAUGAGAGUUUCACUCAUAGUAUCAACCACAGUAAAGUUUGAUCUACCAGAACAUCCACAUUUAAGUAGGGAUAAAUAUUACCUUUCAUGCUAUGGUUUACCAGUUUUACCAAUAUCCAAGUUCUGAAACAGUAAAAUACUGCAAAAAGGCAUAGUGAUGUAAACCAAUAAAUAAUUAUUGAAAUGUAAACCUUUGGCCUCUCAGAUGCAAGAAACAUGCAAUUGUUUCACCUCCCUGCUGUCAACCUCACCACAUCACUACUACACAAUCAAAAUCUCGUCCCAAAACAGCAUGAUACCAUUUAAAAAUCAGUGGUGUAAUGAGGGUAACCAGCAGCCAAGGCAAGACAAGUUUUCUGGGACAGGCCAGCUAUUCAUUAUUUAUCAUCACUUCUUUAGUAUUUUAUUUAAAAUUUUAUACUCAUUAAGAAUUUUGUUCCCAGGGCAACCAGCUCAGAGGCCCUACCCACACUACAUCACUGUUGAUAAUAAAAUAUUUUCAUUUACAUCCUUAUCUUCAACACACCCAUUCCUAUGUGCACUAUCAGACCCCACCACCUAACAACAUAUGUGCCCAGGAUAAUUUCUUGUCCCCAACCCCAAACAAAGUUCUUACUAUCCUCCUACAUAAAAAUCGGAUGAAACAACAAGAGAACAUUUAUAAGGUCAUCUUGCCUGCUAGUGGUAGCAACCAAAAUCCCCCUCAAAUCACAUUCUAUCAUCUGUUAAAAGAAAAAAAUAUGCUGGUCAUUAUGGAAUACAUUUAAUCAUAGCUCUAUAGAACCGGGAUUGACCUAGGUCUAAAAGAUAACUCAUAAUUUUACUUCAAGGAAUAAAAAAUGCAUUUUUUCUCUUCUUCACACAAACAAUGGGAAAAAAACCAUAAAAAAUGUGAAGCAUCGUUUCUAAUGCAGAUUAAUUACAAUAAUUACUUAUAAUAUUGGCAGAAGGUCCAAGUUUUUGGAGGGAGGGUAUAGUCAAUACAAGUGACCAGGAGGAGGAGGAGGAGAUAGUGAUGAUUGUGAUGAUGAAGAUGAUAUUGAAAAGAAAGAGUAACAAAAGAACUAGUGUCUGUACCUAAGCUACCCUGCAUACCCACCACCACCACCACUGUACUGCCUUGUAGUCAGUCUGUACAAAUGGUCAGCUUCUUAUUCAUCAUUCUUCAUGUUUCCUCCACCCAUUCUCCAAUUCUCCUAAAUGACACUUUCUUGUAAGAAAAUCUCAUGUUAAUACAAUGUAAUAACUGUUGACUGCUCUGUUUGCUUAAGGAGAGAGUAAGAGAGAUGCUGAGAGUAAGUGAGAGAGACAGAGGGAGAGAGAGAGGAGCAAGGAACACAGACUGUGGUUAUGUUGUUUGCUUCACAAUUACAAACAUUCACUUUCAAACACACUGCACUUUACUUUUGAUACUUUGAUACUUUGAUAGGUUUCGGCCAUUAUUGGCCCAGGCCAUGUCUAACUUAAUAGCACCACCUGGUGAAGUCUUUCAAGUCAGAAUUUGGGCACUAUGGCCCACUCAAGUAGAGAGUUAUUGUUUACAGAGACAUAUCCGGGUGUAGGGGGUUUAUCCGGGAUUUCUUGAAGGAAUCUGUCCAAAGACUUCUUGAACCCUAUAGGGUCAGUUUAAUGUUAAAGAGAGCGGGGCCAAUUGAGGUGAAAUAAUUGUGCCGUAUUGUUGUUAUGAGAUGAGAGUGCGAUUUUUGUUUUGGGCGGAUGGCACGGGGCCCAAGCCUUGGAUGUACCUUAAAGGUGAUGCCAACAUCAUUUGGGCAAUGCUGAUGGAAUAUUUUCCACAUCAUGCAGAUGAUGUAGCGCUCACGACGACGUUGGAGAGAAUAGAGUUUUAGCUUUUCUAGUCGACCCCAAUAGUCGAGGCCUGUCAUGCCAUCUAUCUUUUUUGUGAUUGCCCUUUGAGGUGCUUCAACUUUUAUGAUACCUUGUAUUGUGUGGGGAGACCACAGUGGACAACAGUAUUCAAGGUGGGGUCGGGCAAAAGUGGAGAAGAGAAGGAUAAUGGUGUGGAUAUCUCUCGACUGGAAAGUUCUGAGAAUCCAGGAACACAUUCUGCGGGCCAUGUCAACUUUGGUGUUUAUAUGAGUGGCCCAGCUUAUGUUGUUGUCCACAAUUACUCCCAGGUCUCUGAUGUUGUUGGACGCCGCGAGAGUUUCACCUGAAGGAAGGGAGUAUGGGAGUUUCUGGGCAUCCUCUUUUCCAAAGUGGAUUAGCUCAAAUUUAUCCUCGUUCAGCAGCAUAUUGUUUUUUUCUGCCCAUUGGAUAACAGCCAGUAGAUCUGACUGAAGGCAUGUCCGGUCACUCGCCUCAUUUAUGACCUUCUGUAGCUUGGAGUCAUCUGCAAAGAUUUUUAUGUUGCUGUGCUUGAUGAUGUCAUUAAUGUCAUUAAUGUAAAUGAUGAAAAGAAGUGGGCCCAGCACAGUGCCUUGCGGAACGCCACUACUGACUUUGGCUGGGCUUGAUUUUACCCCUUCAACUACAACAUGUUGAGAUCUGUCUGUCAGGAAACACUUGAUCCAUUUCAGUAACUUUCCAGAGACACCAAUGUUGGAUAGUUUUUUCAAUAGGAUCUUGUGAUUGACCCUGUCAAAGGCCUUACUGAAAUCAAGGUAGAUGACAUCGGUGUUGGAGCCCUCUCCCAAAGCUCUCAAAAUGUCCUCAAAGUGAUGCAGGAGCUGCGUUAGGCAGUCCCUUCCAUUACGGAACCCAUGUUGAUUGGAGAUCAGCCGUCUGUUGCUUUCCAGAAAUUGGGUUAUUCGAGAUCUCACGCACUGAUAUACA
rnacentral:lncRNA from 1 species